UAGGGAAUCUUCGGCAAUGGGGGGAACCCUGACCGAGCAACGCCGCGUGAGUGAAGAAGGUUUUCGGAUCGUAAAGCUCUGUUGUUAAGGAAGAACGAGUGUGAGAAUGGAAAGUUCAUGCUGUGACGGUACUUAACCAGAAAGGGACGGCUAACUACGUGCCAGCAGCCGCGGUAAUACGUAGGUGGCAAGCGUUGUCCGGAUUUAUUGGGCGUAAAGCGAGCGCAGGCGGUCAAUUAAGUCUGAUGUGAAAGCCCCCGGCUCAACCGGGGAGGGUCAUUGGAAACUGGUUGACUUGAGUGCAGAAGAGGAGAGUGGAAUUCCAUGUGUAGCGGUGAAAUGCGUAGAUAUAUGGAGGAACACCAGUGGCGAAGGCGACUCUCUGGUCUGUAACUGACGCUGAGGUUCGAAAGCGUGGGGAGCGAACAGG
rnacentral:rRNA from 1 species